UGGGCGUAAGGGCUCGCAGGCGGUUUCUUAAGUCUGAUGUGAAAGCCCCCGGCCUCUCCGGGGAGGGUCAUUGGAAACUGGGAAACUUGAGUGCACAUUAGGAGAGUGGAAUUCCACGUGUAGCGGUGAAAUGCGUAGAGAUGUGGAGGAACACCAGUGGCGAAGGCGACUCUCUGGUCUGUAACUGACGCUGAGGAGCGAAAGCGUGGGGAGCGAACAGGAUUAGAUACCCUGGUAGUCCACGCCGUAAACGAUGAGUGCUAAGUGUUAGGGGGUUUCCGCCCCUUAGUGCUGCAGCUAACGCAUUAAGCACUCCGCCUGGGGAGUACGGUCGCAAGACUGAAACUCAAAGGAAUUGACGGGGGCCCGCACAAGCGGUGGAGCAUGUGGUUUAAUUCGAAGCAACGUUUAGAACCUUACCAGGUCUUGACAUCCUCUGACGGCGCUAGAGAUAGGGCUUUCCCUUCGGGGACAGAGUGACAGGUGGUGCAUGGUUGUCGUCAGCUCGUGUCGUGAGAUGUUGGGUUAAGUCCCGCACCGAGCGCAACCCUUGAUCUU
rnacentral:rRNA from 1 species